GAUGAACGCUGGCGGCGUGCCUAAUACAUGCAAGUCGAACGCUGAAGGAGGAGCUUGCUCUUCUGGAUGAGUUGCGAACGGGUGAGUAACGCGUAGGUAACCUGCCUGGUAGCGGGGGAUAACUAUUGGAAACGAUAGCUAAUACCGCAUGACAACAGUUAUUGCAUGAUAACUGUUUAAAAGUGGCAACUGCUCCACUACCAGAUGGACCUGCGUUGUAUUAGCUAGUUGGUGAGGUAACGGCUCACCAAGGCGACGAUACAUAGCCGACCUGAGAGGGUGAUCGGCCAAACUGGGACUGAGACACGGCCCAGACUCCUACGGGAGGCAGCAGUAGGGAAUCUUCGGCAAUGGACGGAAGUCUGACCGAGCAACGCCGCGUGAGUGAAGAAGGUUUUCGGAUCGUAAAGCUCUGUUGUAAGAGAAGAACGAGCGUGAGAGUGGAAAGUUCACACUGUGACGGUAACUGAACAGAAAGGGACGGCUAACUACGUG
rnacentral:rRNA from 1 species